rnacentral:piRNA from 2 species
UCCACAGCACUGCUGUCAAUGGUAGGAAU